rnacentral:rRNA from 1 species
CUUUAGGCAUGCAAGUCGAACGGGUCUGCUUCGGCGGACCAGUGGCGGACGGGUGAGUAACGCGUGGGAAUCUGCCCUUUGGUGGGGAAUAGUUCCAGGAAACUGGAGGUAAUACCGCAUAAGUCCCGAGAGCAAUCGAGGGAGAAAGGUCGUAACUGACCGCCGAAGGAGGAGCCUGCGUCCUAUCAGCUUGUUGGUGGGGUAAUGGCCUACCAAGGCGACGACGGGUAGCUGGACUGAGAGGUCGGUCAGCCACAAUAGCACUGAGACACGGGCUAUACACCUACGGGUGGCAGCAACCGGGAAUCUUGCGCAAUGGACGAAAGCCUGACGCAGCGACACCGCGUGGAGGAUGAAGGCCUUCGGGUUGUAAACUUCUUUUGUGGUCGAAUAUUCGAUCAAGAAUAAGCACCUGCAAACUACGUGCCAGCAGCAGCGGUAAAACGUAGGGUGCCAGCGUUAUCCGGAUUUAUUGGGCGUAAAGAGUUUCGUAGGCGGUGGGGUAAGUAGUAAGUUAAAGACUCUGGCUCAACUAGAGAAAUGCUUACUAAACUGCUCUACUUGAGGUCGUUAGGGGGUGCUGGAAUUCCUGGUGGAGGGGUGAAAUCCAUUGAUAUCAGGAAGAACGCCGAGGGCGAAGGCAGGCACCUGGGGCGAACCUGACGCUGAUGAACGAAAGCUAGGGGAGCGAAAGGGAUUAGAGACCCCUGUAGUCCUAGCCGUAAACGAUGGACGCUAGCUGGGUCGAAAUUUCGACCUGACGAAGUUAACACAUUAAGCGUCCCGCCUGGGGAGUACGGCCGCAAGGCUAAAACUCAAAGGAAUUGACGGGGACCUGCACAACCAGUGGAGCAUGUGGUUUAAUUCGAAAUGAAGCGAAGAACCUUACCUGGGCUUGACAUGCUAGCUGCAAGUCCGACGAAAGUCGGACCCCUUCGAGGGUGCUAGCACAGCUGCUGCAUGGCUGUCGUCAGCUCGUACCGUGGGGCGUUCUCUUAAGUGAGAUAACGAGCGCAACCCCCGCUCCGUAUUACAUAUUACGGAGAACUGCCUAGCAAUUUGUUAGGAGGAAGGAGGGGAUGACGUCNAGUCAGCAUGGUGCUUAUGUCCAGGGCGACACACAUCCUACAAUGGCGAANAACAAAGGGUUGCCAAGCCGUAAGGCGGAGCUAAUCCCUGAAAUUUCGCCUCAGUUCANAUUGAGGGCUGAAAUUCNCCCUCAUGAANUUGNAAUUGNUAGUAAUCGCGGGUCANCANACCNCGGUGAAUACGUUCUCNGGNCUUGNACACACCGCCCGUCNAGUGANCAAANUNGNNNGUACCCNAANUGUCCNCCUNGNUGGAUCCNA